AAAAGGAGCUCUAAAGCUUGCUGCAUAGCACUGCAGCUGCCUGGAGAAUCAACAUUACCCAUGGAAACCUCUGCAGAAGGGUUUCUGCACCCAGCUGCCAACCUCCAGCUGCGUCACAAAAGAAGGCUCAAGGCUGUAUUUCUGACACUGUUCUUUCCCAUCUUAAUCACAUUGAAGAGGGAAGCAUAACAUUGAAAAUCAUCAGCAACAUUUUGCCCCUGGGGUUCAAGCAGCUGAGGAGUCGAGGAUCAGAGAGUGUGUAUGAAUCACUCAAGAAGCAAUGAUUUUCCUCCACUGUGAAAAUCUGUCAUUCAGGCCUUCACUCAAGAAAAAAAAGGUGGUUUCUCUCUCCAGCUCCGGUGUCCAACUCUGAAACCCACCCAAGUCUUAGAGCCUUCCAAGGUGCAUCUCAGAGUUGCUGAUCCAGAAGAAGCAGUGCUGGGAAGAUCUAGUGCUCCUCCUAGCCAGAAAGAUCCAGUCUCUGCUUGAAGGAACCGACUGUCUCCUGUGAGAUAUAAUACAUGUGGCUGCUCUGUCUCUCACAUGGCAUUUCUUUGCUUGUGUUACAAAAAGUAGAGGUGGGGGCUAUACAUUAAAGCAAGUAGAUCAUAAACAUGGAGGUGUAGCCACAGUUUUACUUCACAUCUGAGUACUCAGGGAAAGUAAGCAUGAAGGAGCUGCAAGUAGAACAAAAGUUCAGCCUUCCAUCUGGUAGAAAAAAUCUGCUGUGCAGAAAAUUGUGCAUAACAAUGCAGAAUUUCCCUCCUGCACAUACAGGAUCACUUAUUGCUCACACCAAAGUUGUAAGUCUAGCAUCUCUAUGCAAGCUGAGAAUCAAAUGAUCAGAUACUAGAAAGAGGGAUGCCUUGCUGAAAACUUCCUCAGAUUCACCCAGUGCUUCAGAAAAGAAAAAAAGGGAAAAAAAGGAAAAAAGAAAAUAAAAGGAAAUAAAAGAAAAAAAAGAAGGGACUCUUGGAAGUCCUCUUCUAGGGAGGACUCAGCUUUCAAAGUGCACACAGUAUUCAUGAGCAUGACUGGGACUUAUUCUGUGUGGAAAAACACUGUAGUUCUUUUGAUUGCACUGGCUGUAUUUUAGAGUACUGCUGUCUGGUUACUACAAGGGGUGCCCAGAGUUCACAGUGUAGGUUCUAGCACUAAACAAAUGCAGGAUUAGCAAGGUGUUGUAUUUCCCACAGCAAUGAUAGUGUCCCUGACAAUACCUUUCAUAUUCUCAGGAGAGAAAGCUAAUGCUGGUCCUUGCAGUUAAGUUUAUGCAGUCAUAAUAAACAGUACUUAAAAACCUCACAGUUGCUGUCAAGGGUAUUCACAAAGGGUCAUUUGUAAUGAAACACAAGACAGCUCUGGUGGACUGAUUUCUGGACAGAAAUAACAAUUAGGUAACACUUACAUAAGAAUCAAUGUCUGGCUUUAGCUUUUCAGUGUGUCUGAUUUGCUGCUCCAGCACCCUUCAGUACCUUUUGUAAAUACAUCCUCCUGUGCACUCAUUGGAAACUUGCACUCCCCUGACCCACAGAGCUACCUUCAGUUGUCUGGGUCCAGCCUGCAUUUAACAUUUCUUGCUAAACAGUUUUGAAAACCAGUGGAGUAACAUCAAAUAAUAUAUGAGAAAUUUGCAGGAGAUGAUUGCAAGCAGCAAAGCUGUGAAUACUGAUAUAUUGACAAUAAGGACAUGCAAGAUGCUUAUUUUGUCACCUCCAUUUUACCACUUACCUUUAAUUAAACUGAAAAAUAAAGGCAUCUUG